UGGGGAAUCUUGCGCAAUGGGCGAAAGCCUGACGCAGCAAUGCCGCGUGAGGGAAGACGGUCUUAGGAUUGUAAACCUCUUUCAGCAGGGACGAAAACAGACGGUACCUGCAGAAGAAGCCCCGGCUAACUACGUGCCAGCAGCCGCGGUAAUACGUAGGGGGCAAGCGUUGUCCGGAAUCAUUGGGCGUAAAGAGCGUGUAGGUGGACUGGAAGGUCUGGUGUGAAAGCCCGGGGCUCAACCCCGGAGGGUCACUGGAAACCAACAGUCUUGAGUCCGGAAGAGGAGAGUGGAAUUCCUGGUGUAGCGGUGGAAUGCGCAGAUAUCAGGAGGAACACCAAUGGCGAAGGCAGCUCUCUGGUACGUGACUGACACUGAGACGCGAAAGCGUGGGGAGCGAA
rnacentral:rRNA from 1 species